ensembl:lncRNA
UUUUUGAACUUCUGUAUGAGUUUAGAAACAAAAGAAAUGCACUUGGUAAUAUUUGAUACAACCUUCCAGAAUAUCUACAUUUACAGUAUUUUACUAAUGUACAGUAUUUACUUGACAAAGGGGAUUUCCACUGCUGCUUGUGACAUACUUGUUUUAAGCGCAAAUGUGAUUUUUCUUUAAGAAAGCACAAAUUUCUUUGGUGGGGUGAAAUGACUAAAACAUUUUUUUCAGAUGUCAGCUUGAAAUGUAAAAAAAACAAAGCUUCCAUUAUUGACAGUUCUCAUCAAAUAAGUACAAAGAUUGCGAAGAGUAUUUCCUCUUCCUCAGCUUUUUCCUCGACAGUUUUUUAUCUAUUCUGAGACAACGUUGCCAAACCAAAACUGCACAGACUCGAUGCUCGUGAAAGAAUAGCUGAGAGGGGAAACUCAGAGGACACAAACUUUCAUCAUGCAACUGCCAGAAUUGACUUUGUUACUCAGAUCGUGUCAAAUAAUUUUGUUCUGCUUUAGUGAAAGUGUAGUCUGUCUGCUUCUGUGAUUCUUUCGUAUCCAGAGUUUAGAUGCAGGCUUGCCUGGUUUACGUUCUGCCACAACCACCUACCUGUUUUUCUGCUUGUGGAGACAAAAGCACAGCAACACUCAGAGCCUGACUCACUCGCUGUGUGUGCGGCGGUACAUCAGAGAUAAAGAGGCGGUCAAAGAGCACAGAGAGGAAACUCUACAAACUCUAGAGGACAAAAUGUUUGGAAGCUACUGUCACGUGUUUUCCACAAAUUAUCAGACCGAAUGAUCAAAUCUGAGACCUUCCAGCGAAAUCAGUGGAUACUUGAAGAAAAAAGCACAUAACAUAAACAGAUGCUAAAUCAGACUACAACGUCGAAUUCGCUAGAAACCAUUUUUUUCCCUCCCGGAUACUUUUGAUGCUGUGAGAUACUUGUGCUUUCUGAACAGUAGGCAUAUAAUUUUGAAAAACAAGCAAAAGAAAUAUACUGGACUCUAAAUUAAAGUUUUUUCCAACACAUACAGACUAGGGCUAGGCUGUUUUCCGUUAACAUUACUUAUAUGAAGAAGCUCGCUUCAAUUCUUAACACGUUUAAUGUUUAACUGGUCGUUUUUGUCUAUGUGAUGUUAUUUUAUACAAGUGUACCAGACUAUGAUCUUUGUAUGUGUUUCAGUGGGGCGUUUGGGGUCAGUCGAUUAAAAGUGCCAGUUUAUUUACCUUGAAAAAAACAAAAGGGAAAGUAAACGCCAAAUUUUUUGAUAUUGUGAUGGGAAACUUCAAUCUGAACAUAUCUACAUUGGCCUUCAAAACCUGUCAGUCAAACCCCAGUGCCUACAAAUGUCAAUACACACGCAAACACAAGUAUACGCUCUUACUUUUCCUUCUAGGUAGAUCAGUGCCCUCUUUCCCUCUUUGUUUUGUUUGUAUCAGUGUGAUAAGUUUGCUGUUUGCUUUUCAAUCCGCACAAAGACGGAAAUCCAGCGGAUCCCAGAACAGUUUCCGAAGAAACACUGAGCAAAGUUUGGAUCUGUUUGGAUGCCCGCUAAACUGAGGACUUUAAUUUCUAUAGAGUCAAACUUAAGCACAAGUCCUUGUUUGCCCGGUUUGUUCUUUUUUUUUUUUUUUUUUUUUUUCUUUGGGGUGGGUGAUGUGAGGAGAAAGCGUUUACAAGAGUCAAAAAGUCAGGAAUAAAACCACUGCACGGUGGUCACUUUACGCAAAAUAACUUGAACCGCUGGUUUUUGCAAACUGUCUUCAUGUGUUUUGAUUACGUGAUGUAAGCUUGUCGUUUGCCUCAGCUUCCUGGUUGUGGAAAAUGUGAACAGGCUUUGAACAGCAGCGGUAGCUCCCACUGGACGCGAACACAUCGUUGGAUUUUGUAUGACGCUCCUGUUUCGAUUGAGCUUGUUUCAGAUUAUGAAUUUGAAAUAAUAAUAGUUAAUUUUGGUUUGUCCUUCCAGGAAGCCUGAGCUGUGUCACCCUGCCAUCUUGACUUAGAUGUUGGCCAUAUUUGUUCCUAUGGAUACUUGGGUGUUUGUGUGUGUGAUGAGAGAGGUUGGGAGGAGGCAUCUGUAUGUAGCUCUUUACAUAAAAAAGAAACUUUAUUAAAAAAAAUAAAUUAAAAAAAACAGUUCGGUGGAGCAUGGAUACUCAUGCCUCUCCAGGAAAGAGUCCAGCAGAGCAGUGAGAGAAACAGAGGGACGAAAAAAAGUAUAUAUAUUAUUCUAUAUUGUGCAGAAUAUUUAUAGGCCUUUUGUGCCAUUGAAGUCAUGCUCUGUGCUGGCCACGCCCAGCGCUCUCUACCAUGUGAUCAUUAUACAUCGUCUUGUACUGAUGACCCGUGGUUGAUUUGUUUUUUCAUGUCAAGUGCAUUUUUCGCAAUAAAUGCCUUUGUUUUAAAA